GCUAUAGCUCAGUGGCAGAGCCUCUGCUUUGCAUGUAGAAGCUCCCGGGUUCAAGUCUCAGCAUCUCCA